UGUUGAUCCCAUCCAUUUCUCAUCUGUUUUCAUUUAGUUAUGAUUUUUUGAAGUUGAUACAUGUAUGUUUGACUUUUUUUGUGCAUGCUUGGAAUUGUUUUGACUUCCUGAUUUUAAUUGACCAUCUUCCCAUGAUCCAAUUGAGCUGAAAUUUUAUAUGCAUGUCAUUAUGUGGAUUGUGAUUGACCAUGAAUUAUUUGAUGAUUUUUGGGAUUGGUUAUGUUUGGGUUUGAGCCAAGUAUUUCUGUUGACUUCUAUGUGCUCUCUUUU
rnacentral:lncRNA from 1 species